AUUGAACGCUGGCGGCAUGCCUUACACAUGCAAGUCGAACGGCAGCAUGAUCUAGCUUGCUAGAUUGAUGGCGAGUGGCGAACGGGUGAGUAAUACAUCGGAACGUGCCCUGUAGUGGGGGAUAACUAGUCGAAAGAUUAGCUAAUACCGCAUACGACCUGAGGGUGAAAGUGGGGGACCGCAAGGCCUCAUGCUAUAGGAGCGGCCGAUGUCUGAUUAGCUAGUUGGUGAGGUAAAGGCUCACCAAGGCGACGAUCAGUAGCUGGUCUGAGAGGACGAUCAGCCACACUGGGACUGAGACACGGCCCAGACUCCUACGGGAGGCAGCGGUGGGGAAUUUUGGACAAUGGGCGAAAGCCUGAUCCAGCAAUGCCGCGUGUGUGAAGAAGGCCUUCGGGUUGUAAAGCACUUUUGUCCGGAAAGAAAUGGCUCUGGUUAAUACCUGGGGUCGAUGACGGUACCGGAAGAAUAAGGACCGGCUAACUACGUG
rnacentral:rRNA from 1 species